rnacentral:rRNA from 1 species
AUGGCUCAGGAUGAACGCUAGCUACAGGCUAACACAUGCAAGUCGAGGGGCAGCAUAAAAGUAGCAAUACUUGGUGGCGACCGGCGCACGGGUGAGUAACGCGUAUGCAACCUACCUAUCAGAGGGGAAUAACCCGGCGAAAGUCGGACUAAUACCGCAUAAAACAGGGGCACCGCAUGGUGAUAUUUGUUAAAGAAAUUCGCUGAUAGAUGGGCAUGCGUUCCAUUAGGUAGUUGGUGAGGUAACGGCUCACCAAGCCGACGAUGGAUAGGGGAACUGAGAGGUUGGUCCCCCACACUGGUACUGAGACACGGACCAGACUCCUACGGGAGGCAGCAGUGAGGAAUAUUGGUCAAUGGGCGGGAGCCUGAACCAGCCAAGUCGCGUGAAGGAAGAAGGAUCUAUGGUUCGUAAACUUCUUUUGCAGGGGAAUAAAGUGCAGGACGUGUCCUGUUUUGUAUGUACCCUGAGAAUAAGGAUCGGCUAACUCCGUGCCAGCCGCCGC